UACGUAGGGGGCAAGCGUUGUCCGGAUUUAUUGGGCGUAAAGAGCGUGUAGGCGGCUAGAUAGGUCCGUUGUGAAAACUCGAGGCUCAACCUCGAGACGCCGAUGGAAACCAUCCAGCUAGAGUCCGGAAGAGGAGAGUGGAAUUCCCGGUGUAGCGGUGAAAUGCGCAGAUAUCGGGAAGAACACCCGUGGCUAGGGCGGCUCUCUAGUACGGUACUGACGCUGAGACGCGAAAGCGUGGGGAGCGAACAGG
rnacentral:rRNA from 1 species